rnacentral:rRNA from 1 species
ACGGGAGACACACGGCGGGUGCUAACGUCCGUCGUGAAGAGGGAAACAACCCAGACCGCCAGCUAAGGUCCCAAAGUCAUGGUUAAGUGGGAAACGAUGUGGGAAGGCCCAGACAGCCAGGAUGUUGGCUUAGAAGCAGCCAUCAUUUAAAGAAAGCGUAAUAGCUCACUGGUCGAGUCGGCCUGCGCGGAAGAUGUAACGGGGCUAAACCAUGCACCGAAGCUGCGGCAGCGACGCUUAUGCGUUGUUGGGUAGGGGAGCGUUCUGUAAGCCUGCGAAGGUGUGCUGUGAGGCAUGCUGGAGGUAUCAGAAGUGCGAAUGCUGACAUAAGUAACGAUAAAGCGGGUGAAAAGCCCGCUCGCCGGAAGACCAAGGGUUCCUGUCCAACGUUAAUCGGGGCAGGGUGAGUCGACCCCUAAGGCGAGGCCGAAAGGCGUAGUCGAUGGGAAAC